CGGGGCAUAGUCUAGCGGAUAGGCAGGAGUCUUCUAAACUCCUUUACGCGGGUUCGAAUCCUGCUGCCUCGACCA
rnacentral:tRNA from 1 species